rnacentral:tRNA from 1 species
GGGUAUAUAGCUCAGUGGUACAGUGUAUGCUUAACAAGCACGAGGUCCUGGGUUCAAUACCCAUUACCUCCA